rnacentral:rRNA from 1 species
CUACGUGCCAGCAGCCGCGGUAACACGUAAGGGGCGAGCGUUGUUCGGAAUUAUUGGGCGUAAAGGGCAUGUAGGCGGUUAUGUAAGCCUGGUGUGAAAUCCUGGGGCUUAACCCUAGAAUAGCAUUGGGAACUGCUUUGGAAACUGUUGUUCUAGAGUGUUGGAGAGGUAAGUGGAAUUCCUGGUGUAGCGGUGAAAUGCGUAGAUAUCAGGAAGAACACCGGAGGCGAAGGCGGCUUACUGGACAAUAACUGACGUUGAGGCUCGAAAGCGUGGGGAUCAAACAGGAUUAGAUACCCUGGUAGUCCACGCCGUAAACGAUGAGUGCUAGGUGUUAGACCCUUUCCGGGGUUUAGUGCCGCAGCUAACGCAUUAAGCACUCCGCCUGGGGAGUACGACCGCAAGGUUGAAACUCAAAGGAAUUGACGGGGGCCCGCACAAGCGGUGGAGCAUGUGGUUUAAUUCGAAGCAACGCGAAGAACCUUACCAGGUCUUGACAUCCCUCUGACCGCUCU